ensembl:piRNA 21ur-1569 ncRNA
UGUUCGCGUCUGUCGAUAUUC